GUCUAGUCUGAGCAAUGAGGUACAUUUUAUGUUUACUGUAAGCACUAUAAUCCUAGAACUUGCCCUGGCACUGAUAAAUUGGGUAUGCACUCAAGACUGGUUUAUAAGUGAUGAAAUACAUUUUAGCCUAAUACAAAUACCCUAAAACAGGAAUUCACCCUAGCACCGACAAAAUGGAUACAUUCUGAGGACCUGAUUUGUCCCUGACAUGACCUCAUUGACCUCAGUGUGUGAUUCAGGAACCUUCAUGUGUUUGCAGCAGUAAGUGUGUUGAAGAUAAGAAAUGUUUAUCUUGGUGAAAAGGAGGCUCAGAAGUGACCUUACGACUGUCUACAACUAUCUGAAAGGAGGUGAUGUCCAGUUCAGAGACGGAGGCUUUGAUACUGGCUUUUGUUGGGUUUGUUGGAAGGGAUUGACUUUUUGCUGUGACUACAAUUCUUUGUAGGUAAGACUGGCUACAAGAAAGAAAUGUAUAAUGAUACAUUUUCUAUAUAUUUUGAAAAUACCAAAAGAGAAGAAGAAAGAAGGAGAGCUGGAUGGCAGAACACGCACUUAUGUGUUUUACUGUCAAAAAACCCUAUAUGGCUUAGGUUCAUAAACUCAGCCUUUCAAAACAAAUGUAAAUAAACAUUGAUAAGCUUAUGAUUUUCAAAUAGACAAGGUUAUGUUAGUGGUUCAUUAAGUUUUGUUCUUGCUGCUGCUAUGCUUGUUUAUCUUUUACCAUUUGUUAUUAUGAGAGUAUUAAAAACUCUAUAGCUCUGACAGAAUCAUUCAAUUAUAACUUCUAUUAUGUGAUAUAUGGAACUGUAAUAUUUAUAUUCAGCAAGGUAUAUUAAAAUAAGUUUUAUAGGGACUUUUCAUUAACAUGUAUAAUUAAUAUAGAUGUCACUUUGUGUUGCUUUAUUAAUUACUCAACAGCUGUAACCUCUGUUUUAAGUGGGUUUUGGCUUUGUUUUAAUAAAAACCAGAUUAACUUAGAGGUUGAUAAGUAGGAUAUGCUGCUUCUACAAACAUCACUUCUUAACUUGAACUAGGAAUUUAAAAAGAUUUAUAUUGUUUAGAUUUAGAGAGGUUUAGAUUGUUCUCACAAUCUACACUGACAAAACCUGUACUUAAGUGCAGAAAAGACUGAAAAACACAGUGUAAAACAAGGGAAAAGAGAAAUUAAUGGAUUCCUAACCUUUACUCUUUGCUAUCCAAUGUAUAAAGAUGUUAAUGAGACAAAAAGGCUUGGAGUUUUAAAAGACAAAGUAUAAUUACAUUGGAAUUAUUCAAAUUCUCAACAUUUGCUCCCUGGAUUCUGCCUAAGGGGUCAAUUCCUUCCCCUUCAGGAUAUUCUGACAUCACCUUACUGAAUACCCAAAGAUCAAUAGACUUAAUUAGAAAAUAAAGAUAUUAAUUGGAUUAAGAUAAAAAUACAUUAAAAUAAUAUCCUUCAAAAAGUAAAAGCCAAUGCUUUCAAUGUUGAUAAAAAUCUCUGUUCCUUUUCAAAUUAAGCUUUUUUUUUUUUUUUGCCAGUGAUACAGUACUAAAAAAGACACAAUAAAAAAGCAAAUUGGAUCAAAAUCACACUUUAUGUAGAUUAUAUAUUUUAAAAUUAUAAACAGGACACAUAUGGUAGCUGCAAACUCCAUAAUUUUUAACUUUCUUUUUUCACAGUACUUUUCAUUUUCAAAACUCGGUUAGGCAGUAAGCACAUUUGUCUUUAAGUUGUGGAGUUAAAAAGUCCAAUAAAAGUCUGAAACAGACUAAAAGUUUUUAUUACCAGAAGUUAUUUAAUAUAAAACAUUCACUGCAUGUAUCUUUAUUUUGCCUUUAAAAUCCUUCUCAUAAAGGUAAAUGGAUGAGGGACUGCAUAGAGCACUAGAAAUGCCACGAUAAAGAACUUACGAGAAACGUCCAUUGAAUGACCUACACUGAAAGAGGGAGAAGUGAAAUCACACCCAAAAUGCAACAAGGUGAUUAAGUCUUCUAAGCUCUUAGUAGCAGUGAGGAAGCAAUUGAGUUUGAAGUUGAGGAAAGAUUUGUC